CUGAGGGACUAUACGUGGCUGGGGGCACCCAGUCUGGUCUCCCAUCUGUGAGUCUGGAACACUCAAGGAUGGGUGUUCUAUUUCGGAGGUUGACAUAGGGAACAAGACAAUACCUUGAGGUCCCUUUGUAAAUUUCUAAAUCCAAGGACUCUGGAUUUGUUUAGGAAGAAGGGCUUGAUUUUGAGGACAGAAAACAAAACCAGAUAGGACCUCAAACAGUUUUAUCUGCACCCAAAAGGCCUCAGGUCUCUUCUUGUGCUGGCCUUACUUCUUUCUGACAUGGAGGGCCGCCUUACCUCCCCUGUGUAUGAUCUGCCAUCAUUACUGAGAUUCCCACUAGUACAGAGCCAAAAGUAGUUCAGGAGCCUCUGCUGUUUCCUUCAUUACACUGGUGGAGAGACAGUGACCAUCACCCUAUCUCUUCCUAAGUAGGACCCUUGAGAAUCUUAUAGGUCAUGUCCCACGUCAUAUCAGUGUAAAAAAAAAAAAUGUGAGAUCUCAGGUGUGCUCAUCAAUCUUAUGGAAGAAAGGAAAUCGAAGAAGAGCCCACCUCAGACUAAGAUUUGCUCAAGCCCAGGAUGGCUUCACACACAUGAGCCUCCUGCUUCACUGCCCUGAAUGCUGAUUUCUUGGGUUACAGAUGUGAGGGAUGCAUCUAGAAGAAAUGGGACUUCCACAGAGGAUUCCAGCUGUGACCCCUUGUCACCUGUGAGGCUUGGUCUCUGUUGGCCAUGCUUAUUUAUCUCCUGGGGACUUACCUGUUCAUGGCCUACGAUGGGCUGUAUGUUGAGUUAUUUGUCAUGUUUCCAUUAAUCAGAGAAGUUCUUUAUAUAAUUUACCUGUUCAAUGUGCUGCAGAAAAUAUCCACCUAGUCUGUCACCUCUAAA